AUUGAACGCUGGCGGCAUGCCUUACACAUGCAAGUCGAACGUGAAAGCGGGGGCAACCCGCAAGUAGAGUGGCGGACGGGUGAGUAAUACAUCGGAACGUGUCCAGUAAUGGGGGAUAACCUAGCGAAAGUUAGGCUAAUACCGCAUACGAUCUGCGGAUGAAAGCGGGGGAUGCGGCACUAAAGGCUUUUGGCGAAGGUGGCCAAAGGUGAGUCAAGAGCUUUUAGUGCNGCACCUCGCGUUAUUGGAGCGGCUGAUGUCUGAUUAGCUAGUUGGUGAGGUAAAGGCUUACCAAGGCGACGAUCAGUAGCUGGUCUGAGAGGACGGCCAGCCACACUGGGACUGAGACACGGCCCAGACUCCUACGGGAGGCAGCAGUGGGGGAAUUUUGGACAA
rnacentral:rRNA from 1 species